GAUGAACGCUGGCGGCGUGCCUAACACAUGCAAGUCGAACGGAGCUGUUUUGAUGAAGUUUUCGGAUGGAUUUAAAACAGCUUAGUGGCGGACGGGUGAGUAACGCGUGGGUAACCUGCCUCACACUGGGGGAUAACAGUUAGAAAUAGCUGCUAAUACCGCAUAAGCGCACGGUUCCGCAUGGAACAGUGUGAAAAACUCCGGUGGUGUGAGAUGGACCCGCGUCUGAUUAGCCAGUUGGCGGGGUAACGGCCCACCAAAGCGACGAUCAGUAGCCGGCCUGAGAGGGUGAACGGCCACAUUGGGACUGAGACACGGCCCAAACUCCUACGGGAGGCAGCAGUGGGGAAUAUUGCACAAUGGGGGAAACCCUGAUGCAGCGACGCCGCGUGAGUGAAGAAGUAUUUCGGUAUGUAAAGCUCUAUCAGCAGGGAAGAAAGUGACGGUACCUGAAUAAGAAGCCCCGGCUAACUACGUG
rnacentral:rRNA from 1 species